GAUGAACGCUAGCGGCAGGCCUAAUGCAUGCAAGUCGAACGGGUGGUCGCAAGACCACUAGUGGCGCACGGGUGCGUAACGCGUAACCAACCUGCCCCGAUCUGGGGGAUAGCCCGCCGAAAGGCGGAUUAAUACCGCAUAUACCCGCAGCCUGGCAUCAGGCAACGGGGAAAGAUUUAUUGGAUCGGGAUGGGGUUGCGUGACAUUAGCUAGUUGGCGGGGUAAGGGCCCACCAAGGCGACGAUGUCUAGGGGACCUGAGAGGGUGAUCCCCCACACUGGCACUGAGAUACGGGCCAGACUCCUACGGGAGGCAGCAGUAGGGAAUAUUGGGCAAUGGGCGAGAGCCUGACCCAGCCAUGCCGCGUGCCGGAUGAAGGCCUUCUGGGUUGUAAACGGCUUUUCUCAGGGAAGAAAAAGACCUUGCGAGGUACACUGACGGUACCUGAGGAAUAAGCACCGGCUAACUCCGUG
rnacentral:rRNA from 1 species